rnacentral:rRNA from 1 species
CCAAUAGCGUAUAUUAAAGUUGUUGCAGUUAAAAAGCUCGUAGUUGAAUUUCGGGGUUAGUAGGUUGGUCAUGCCUCUGGUAUGUACUGGUCUCACUGAUUCCUCCUUCCUGAUGAGCCGUAAUGCCAUUAAUUUGGUGUUGCGGGGAAUUUGGACUGUUACUUUGAAAAAAUUAGAGUGUUUAAAGCAAGCUAACGCUUGAAUACAUUAGCAUGGAAUAAUGAAAUAGGACGUUCGAUCCUAUUUUGUUGGUUUCUAGGAUUGACGUAAUGAUUAAUAGGGUUAGUUGGGGGCAUUAGUAUUCAAUUGUCAGAGGUGAAAUUCUUGGAUUUAUUGAAGACUAACUACUGCGAAAGCAUUUGCCAAGGAUGUUUUCAUUAAUCAAGAACGAAAGUUAGGGGAUCGAAGACGGUCAGAUACCGUCGUAGUCUUAACCAUAAACUAUGCCGACUAGGGAUCGGAUGAUGUUAAUUUUUUAAUGACUCAUUCGGCGCCUUACG